UACGGAGGGUGCAAGCGUUGUUCGGAUUUACUGGGCGUAAAGCGCGCGCAGGUGGGUGUGCAAGUCGGAAGUGAAAUCCUGGGGCUCAACCCUGGGGCUGCUCCCGAAACUGCUCGCCUAGGGACUGGUAGAGGCUGGUAGAAUUCCCGGUGUAGCGGUGGAAUGCGUAGAGAUCGGGAAGAAUACCCGUGGCGAAGGCGGCCAGCUGGGCCAGGUCCGACACUGAGGCGCGAAAGCGUGGGGAGCAAAC
rnacentral:rRNA from 1 species